UACGUAGGGCGCAAGCGUUAUCCGGAAUUAUUGGGCGUAAAGAGCUCGUAGGCGGUUUGUCGCGUCUGCCGUGAAAACCCGGGGCCCAACCCCGGGCCUGCAGCCGAUACGGGCAGACUAGAGUUCGGCAGGGGAGACUGGAAUUCCUGGUGUAGCGGUGAAAUGCGCAGAUAUCAGGAGGAACACCGGUGGCGAAGGCGGAUCUCUGGGCCAUUACUGACGCUGAGGAGCGAAAGCGUGGGGAGCGAACAGG
rnacentral:rRNA from 1 species